CACAAACUGCACCAAAAUCACAGUCUCAAGCCAUUUCUUGCCUGCUUCUGGGCUGGGAAAGGUGCUGGUAUGUGCGGGCAGGGCAGCCAUCUCCCCCGGUACCUAACUCCAGGUCAGAGCUCCUCUCCCAAUUGGAGGCUGAGGGAGGGGAUCCGUGCAAGGCACUGUGCCUGGAGCCCCCUCUGUUCAAAGGCGCCCAAGGAGAUGGAGCUGGCCUGGGGAUGGCUGGAGGCCACACAGACGGGAAGCUUCCUCUGGGGCCUGGUUGAUCCACUUCAGAUUCUUCCCCUGUUUUAUUAG
rnacentral:lncRNA from 1 species